rnacentral:rRNA from 1 species
GUGAAUACAUAGCAUAUCAGAAGGCACACCCGGAGAACUGAAACAUCUUAGUACCCGGAGGAAGAGAAAGAAAAUUCGAUUCCCUUAGUAGCGGCGAGCGAAACGGGAAGAGCCCAAACCAACAAGCUUGCUUGUUGGGGUUGUAGGACACUCUAUACGGAGUUACAAAGGACGACAUUAGACGAAUCAUCUGGAAAGAUGAAUCAAAGAAGGUAAUAAUCCUGUAGUCGAAAAUGUUGUCUCUCUUGAGUGGAUCCUGAGUACGACGGAGCACGUGAAAUUCCGUCGGAAUCUGGGAGGACCAUCUCC